rnacentral:rRNA from 1 species
UACGUAGGGUCCAAGCGUUAUCCGGAAUCACUGGGCGUAAAGCGUGCGUAGGUGGCGUGUUAAGUGUGAUGUUAAAUCGUGGGGCUCAACCCUGUCGGUGCAUCACAUACUGGCAUGCUAGAGGACAGCAGAAGCAAGUGGAAUUGGUAGUGUAGCAGUGAAAUGCGUAGAUAUUACCAGGAACACCAAUGGCGAAGGCAGCUUGCUGGGCUACUCCUGACACUGAGGUACGAAAGCGUGGGGAGCGAACAGG